ACGAACUGGAGGAGGAUAUUACCAUUCCCCUGACUGGUCAUCUGGAGGGUGAAACCAGAAGGAAACUGGGAAUUCUGUUGAAGAAAAAUUUUGAAAAAUACAAGGAGACGAUCCUCUGGAUUAUGAGGAAACGUGAAACCAUAUUUAGCCAAAGGACUGCAGAGAGCACGUUCACGUUUCACUUAUGUAAUAUACCACCACAAGAUGAGGAGGAGGAGGUGGAGCCAGAGAAAGAAGUCAAAAAAGCUCGUCGUGUCGUUCGCCGUACGAAGACGUUAGAACUAGAUACGGACUGGAUCAACAGCAAGCUUAAGGUAAUGC
rnacentral:lncRNA from 1 species